UAUACCAUAACACCUUGCGGCGCAUAAAAAUAAUAAAUAUCUGAAUUAAUGGUGGACAGAAGUCCCCGCUUCGGAGAAAAUGCUCCAGAAGAAUGAGGAAUAACUUCACUAAAGGACUAAAGUGGGAAUCUGAUCGCGUUUUACUCCAUUGCAUUGGCGUGGCAGGAGUAAACAGUCCUGCCCGACUCAUUUGGAGGUUGAAGGACAUCCAACUCUGACAUCCUGCAGAUGUAAAGAACUUGUUGUGAACCUCCCAGAAACCAGGAUACUGACCAUAUCCCAGGAUAUUUUUCAGGAGUGUGCAACAUCACAAUGUUAGAUAAAUAGAUUCACCUAUAUUGUUUAUCAUGCAGAUUUGUCAGGACAUUGAAAUGUAUUAAGCUCAUUCUAAAAUACAACCUUGAUUUCUGUCCUAGGGGAUUGCACUGUGUUUAGACCACAAUUAGUUGAAUUAGGUGUUAGUGAAGGGCUGGAACAAAAACCUGUAAACUCCUGUCCUGUGUAUAAAAAUCACCUGUGGCUGGCAUGACUAAAUUUGCCAUCAUGUACUGAACACAUUUAUGAAUGUUGGAGGUUAAUCUCCUUGAGAUGUUCCUCACUUGGGAAUGUUUUAUUUUGCACAAUGGACUUAGUUUUAAGGACUCAUGCACAGAUACAGUAAAACCAAAAAAAGGUUAACAAUUAUUCAAUAUUACAUGUAUCCACAUGUUUCUGGUUUUGAGGCUUGGGCAUCUGGUGACAGCAGUUCAUCUGUCUAAUCCCCUGCAAGGAGAGGGAAUGGCAUCAAUCAUAUUACAAAGCUGCAUUAUAUUUCUGUUUGAUAUGCAUUUAUAUAAUUAUAUUGGACAUGUUAUUCUUUAUCACAUGCCAGCAUGUUUUGUAUCCAAUGCAUUUAGCUUACAUUAGGAUGAAGUAGCCUAGGCCUUCUAAUCUUGCUAGAUUGCAUCAUAUCACCUUUCAAUAUUAGUUAUCAACAAAUAUAAAACCAUGUUAUCUUGAACAUUAGUGUCAUUUAAUAAAAUGCACAGGUGUAAUAGUUGUAUGAAUUAAUCACAAUGCAAGCCUACUUAUUAUUUUUUAAAAAUCAGCUCUAAUGCAAUAUUAGCUUAACAGUGAAACACCACUAUUCUGGCUAUUAAUCGUUCUUAAACAGUUAGUAAACUAGCUUAUUUAGCUAUCUAAAGAAAUCGUAGACUAUAUGAUAUCAUGCAUGCAAGCUUUUCUGUCAUGUGCACAACGAUGGAGCAGCAGACCAGGCAAGGACUACACAGUAGGAUCAUUUUUCUGGUCGGUGUCAAAUUAAUUCAUUAACAGGUACUGAGGAGAUCAAUUCUGUUACUUGUUUACUUGUUAUUCGUGUCAGAUAUUUCCAUUUUGGGACACUGAAUUGCUAGCACUAGUUGCUCAGGUUGCCACAGUGGCUACAAACGUCACGUGCUCGGUGGAAUGUCAAUGCGUUAUCACAUGAUGCUGCCUUCAAAUCCCAUCCCAGUAUUAGAAAAGUGCUACCAACUAAGGUAGGCUCCUUUGCAGGCAGGCAGCAGGCUUUGGAUUGGUUAAAUAAUAACAGUAUGCUACACCAACAUUAGUUUCCAUUCAUACAAAACGACUGCCCAACACUGGGCGCGAACUCAUGAUGCUCAGAGUGAAAGUGUGCUGCUCAGACCACCGCGCUAAGGCAGUUCACAAUGCUCUCACAAGCCAUGAGAAUACUUGAUACUUGAUGGUAUGAGGUCGGUUGGUUUGCAGAGCCUUCCCCAAACCAUAGCUCCCUAGGUAUGGGUACUGCAUUGUAUUGCCUACAAACACUCCCUGCUGCCCCCUGGUGGCGAUUGUACAUGUUAAAUGUUUAUUCAAAUCCUCCUGCUGCAGGAUUAUUUUCCUCCUGCAACGAAAUAGGUCAUAUUAAGAUUCGACAUCUGUACUUCCUCCUUGAUCUACUCUUCUUGAAUUUCUCAUUUUGUCCUCUUCUCUCUUAGAGGGGUUCUGUCUGUCUGUGUCUGUUGAUAUUGUGUGACCCCUUCAUCUCUGCCUCCCCCAUAUUCAGAUUCCAACAGAGUUGCAGUGUUUUAGACAGACAUCUUGAAGCAGAAUGAGUCUUAGGUCAUGAGGGAUGUUUGUCAGGAAAAAAAGAGUUUUAUUGCGGUCCCGGAUUGUGAUGUGUGUUCUCUCUGCCAUCGAUUUCUCUGGCACCAAAGGAAUGCAGUUUGAAAUACAAUGCCAUUUUCCUUUUAAAAACAAUAAGAUGCACAACGCUCUAGAGCAGGGGUGUCAAACAUACGGCCCGCGGGCCGGAUCCGUACCGCAAGCCCCUUCAAUCCAGUGUUGGGUUCUAUUUUUCUCAUAAUUGGAUCUGUAUGUGAUGAAUAGCUUGGAAGGAAUGCAUUAAUGA